rnacentral:tRNA from 1 species
UGGCUCAGUGGUAGAGCGCUUGCCUUGCAAGCUUGAGGCCCUGGGUUCGAUUCCUCAG